AUCUUCCUGAUUAUCCGCUUUCCUUCUCAAGCUGCAAACAUCACUCUACCUAAAGUCAAGAUCCUACCACCUUCUCCAAAAGAAUUAUGUUCCCAGAACAAGACAGAUAAAUGGUCAACUUUAGUGUGUGUGGCCACAGGCUUUUAUCCUGAUCAUGUGAGCGUGUCCUGGAAAGUGAAUGGCGAAGAGAGACAGGACUGGGUCUCAACUGACACCUCAGCCCAACAGGACAAGGCAACAUUAAUUUACCAUAUCAGCAGCAGAAUGAAAAUUGAUGACAUGGACUGGAUAGAUCCCAAAAAUAACUUCACCUGCACUGUCCAUUUCUUCAACGGAGAGGAUUGUGUCAAUGUCACAAACACCAUAAAUGGUCAAAAAGUGAAGCCGAAAGGAUUGAAACUGCUUGGCUUUGGCUACAUCCUAUUCCUCAGCAAAAGCCUGCUUUAUGCGCUGAUUGUGGCUGGUGUGGUGUGCAAACUCAAGUUUUCAGCAAAGAACAAACAAUUACCAGAGGACUGAGAUACCUUGUAACUUUGUCAGUGAGACGCCAGAAGUGACUUUCUUUUUAUUUACAAAUGUGUAAUAUGUCUGUAUAUUUCCUACAUUUUACUAGAUUCAUGUUUGUUUUAUUUGCGUAUGACAUCA